GGAGAGGUGGCUGAGCGGUUGAAAGCGCCCGCCUCGAAAGCGGGUUAGGGUUAACGCCCUACGCGGGUUCGAAUCCCGCCCUCUCCGCCA
rnacentral:tRNA from 1 species